CAAGUGACCCCGGUCUAACCACCGGGAUGUUCAUAACCCUUUGUUGUCCGACUCUGUUGCCUCCGGGGCGACCCUGCCUUCGGGCGGGGGCUCCGGGUGGACACUUCAAUCUCUUGCGUAACUUUGCAGUCUGAGUAAACUUAAUUAAUAAAUUA
rnacentral:misc_RNA from 1 species